rnacentral:rRNA from 1 species
CGUGUGGUUCUAUUUUGUUGGUUUCUAGGACCGCCGUAAUGAUUAAUAGGGAUAGUCGGGGGCAUCAGUAUUCAAUUGUCAGAGGUGAAAUUCUUGGAUUUAUUGAAGACUAACUACUGCGAAAGCAUUUGCCAAGGAUGUUUUCAUUAAUCAGUGAACGAAAGUUAGGGGAUCGAAGACGAUCAGAUACCGUCGUAGUCUUAACCAUAAACUAUGCCGACUAGGGAUCGGACGGUGUUACUAUAUUGACCCGUCCGGCACCUUACGAGAAAUCAAAGUUUUUGGGUUCUGGGGGGAGUAUGGUCGCAAGGCUGAAACUUAAAGACAUUGACGGAAGGGCACCACCAGGCGUGGAGCCUGCGGCUUAAUUUGACUCAACACGG